GCUUAUUUAGUGAUUUUUCUUACAUAUCUCUGUAAAAUUUGUAUUUUUUCCAUACGUGGUCACUAAAAUCUUCCUUCUGGGUAAGCUCUGUGGUCUUCUACUGGUUGGAUACAGAUAUCCUUUAAUAAGGAACCCUCAAGCCUCCCAGUCAUGCUGAGAGCCUGUGUGUGUGUGGUGCUCAUUCAGUGCAUGACAGGCAGCUUACAAUAGUCCACUUCAUAGGGCCGCAGAGCCAGGCAGAUGUGCGGAUAGCCCUGCAUGAGCGUGUGGCCAGAUGCAUGGGGAUGUGUUAAAGCUUCCCAGAGCCUCAAAUGCAUUAUAUUCUGUGACUUUUUUCCUGAGUUUUAGAAAGCCUUAUGCUAGUUUCAACAGGUAAAAAUACUAUGAGCACCUAUGAUACUAAACAAUUACCACUUAUGUUUUACAAAUACAUUGAUGCAGGUCUACUUGCACAGAAGAUGUUCUGAUCAAGUCAGGUGAAGAUGAGCCUUGAGGAUGGAGCUUGUCAGCAAACUGCCAGACAGAUGUACACUGCCGGUACGAUGGUAGCAGGGUUUGUGUCGAUUGGCUCCUGCUCCCAGACAUGUGAUAUCUUGCUUCCAAGACUUGUUUCGGCUGUUAAUGGAAAUGCCUCUGUAGUUUCAAGGCUAAGUAUGAUCCUGUCUGUUGGCUUCAAGAGGUAGCCUUCAUUGUAAAGGCAGCAGAAGUCAGAAUGCAAGGCAAAUAAGUCAACAUGAAUAGGGAACUAACAGAUGUGCCAUCUCAGGAAGAAAACUGGAGACAACCCCAUAACUUGGACUUUCACCACAGUGUUGCUGCCAGUUAAACUCUGACCUGUUACUGUCCCUCCCACAAGUCUUCCUUGACUACAUCAUUAUAAAAGAUAUUCUCCAAUAAUUACUCACUAGCCCAGUA